CCGUUUCCGUACGGACGUCAAGGAGCACACACCAUGGAGAAGACCGGCGGCAGCCGAAAGAAAGGCCUGAAGCGCAAGAGCGCUGCCGAAGAACCUCAGGAGGCUGCAGUCGGUGAGGAUGGGGCGACGGAAAGCGGGGGCCAAGCCCCGAAAGCGUCCGCCUUCCCUCCGGGCUUCAGCAUUUCCGAGAUUAAGAACAAACAGCGGCGACACUUAAUGUUCACGCGGUGGAAGCAGCAGCAGCGGAAGGAAAAGUUGGCAGCUAAGAAAAAACUUAAAAAAGAGAGAGAGGCUCUUGGUGAUAAGGCUCCACCAAAGCCUAUACCCAAGACCAUUGACAACCAGCGAGUAUAUGAUGAAACCACAGUAGACCCUAAUGAUGAAGAGGUUGCUUAUGAUGAAGCUACAGAUGAAUUUGCUUCUUAUUUCAACAGACAAACUUCUCCCAAGAUUCUCAUUACAACAUCAGAUAGACCUCAUGGGAGAACAGUACGACUCUGUGAACAGCUUUCCACAGUUAUACCAAACUCACAUGUUUAUUACAGAAGAGGACUGGCUCUGAAAAGAAUUAUUCCACAGUGCAUCUCAAGAGAUUUCACAGAUCUGAUCGUUAUUAAUGAAGAUCGUAAAACACCAAAUGGAUUAAUUCUGAGUCACUUGCCAAAUGGACCAACUGCUCAUUUUAAAAUGAGCAGUGUUCGUCUGCGUAAAGAAAUUAAGAGAAGAGGCAAGGACCCCACAGAACACGUACCUGAAAUAAUUCUGAAUAAUUUUACAACAAGGCUGGGUCAUUCUGUUGGACGAAUGUUUGCAUCUCUCUUUCCCCAUAAUCCUCAGUUUAUUGGAAGGCAGGUUGCCACAUUCCACAAUCAACGGGAUUAUAUCUUCUUCAGAUUUCACAGAUACAUAUUCAAGAGUGAAAAGAAAGUGGGAAUUCAGGAACUUGGACCACGUUUUACCUUGAAAUUAAGAUCUCUUCAGAAAGGAACCUUUGAUUCUAAAUAUGGUGAAUAUGAAUGGGUCCAUAAGGUAUGUACUUACUCUAGAAAAGCCAUUUAGAUGAUUUUAAGUAUGGGAUGAGAAGGAAAUCGUGUACUUUUUAAGCUUUGAGUUCUACCUCAAGUUAUGCUUCUGAAUAUCUUCCAUCAUGAGCUAAAAACCAUUUUCUGAUGUGGUAAUUGGAUCUGGUGAUUAAUCCUGGUUCAUUUGAAGUAUCCUAAAUAUUUAUGGUUCUCAAAGUAGGACCAGAAGCAUCACCCAGAAACUUUUAAGAUGAAAAAUUGUUGGGCCAUAGAUUUACUGAAUUCGACCCAGCAACCUAUUCAUAAGCUUGUGCUACCCUAAUUCUGGUGCAUGCUUGAGAAUUAUUUUCUAUCUACCCCGGGAAAUGGAUACAAGUAGAAGAAAAUUCCACUUAUAAAAUACUGAAGGAAUAGUACUGGAUUUUGCGGAACGGGCCUAUCUUGAAUUUGUAACAGAAGACUCUUCAAAAUGGCAUUUACUGAUUUCAUAUACCUUAUUUCGUGUCUGGACAAAUUACCAAGUGCCAUGAAUUACCACUCACUGUUUCUGUAGGAAAUACAAAUAAAAGUAUUUUGGUGAGAGUGUA